rnacentral:rRNA from 1 species
GACGAACGCUGGCGGCGUGCUUAACACAUGCAAGUCGAGCGGAAAGGCCACUUCGGUGGUACUCGAGCGGCGAACGGGUGAGUAACACGUGAGUAAUCUGCCCCUGGCUUUGGGAUAGCCACCGGAAACGGUGAUUAAUACCGGAUAUGACCACGUCUCGCAUGGGGUGUGGUGGAAAGUUUUUCGGCCAGGGAUGUGCUCGCGGCCUAUCAGCUUGAUGGUGAGGUAAUGGCUCACCAUGGCUUCGACGGGUAGCCGGCCUGAGAGGGUGACCGGUCACACUGGGACUGAGACACGGCCCAGACUCCUACGGGAGGCAGCAGUGGGGAAUAUUGGACAAUGGGCGGAAGCCUGAUCCGGCAACGCCGAGUGAGGGAUGACGGCCUUCGGGUUGUAAACCACUGUCGGACGGGACGAAAGGAGCUAUGAAGCUCUAGGACGGUACCGUCAAAGGAAGGAUCGGCUAACUACGUGCCAGCAGCCGCCGUAACAC